rnacentral:rRNA from 1 species
GGCGGACGGGUGAGUAAUACAUAGGAAUCUACCCAGUANUGGGGGAUAACUUGGAGAAAUCCAUGCUAAUACCGCAUAUGCCCUACGGGGCAAAGCAGGGGACCCUCGGGCCUUGCGCUAUUGGAUGAGCCUAUGUCGGAUUANCUAGUUGGUAGGGUAACGGCCUACCAAGGCGACGAUCCGUAGCUGGUCUGAGAGGAUGAUCAGCCACACUGGGACUGAGACACGGCCCAGACUCCUACGGGAGGCAGCAGUGGGGAAUAUUGCACAAUGGGCGCAAGCCUGAUGCANCAAUGCCGCGUGUGUGAAGAAGGCCUGCGGGUUGUAAAGCACUUUUAUUGGGAAAGAAAAACCCGGAGAUAAUACCCCCGGCAUUGACGGUACCCAAAGAAUAAGCACCGGCUAACUCAGUGCCAGCAGCCGCGGUAAUACUGAGGGUGCAAGCGUUAAUCGGAAUUACUGGGCGUAAAGCGAGUGUAGGCGGCCACUUAAGUCGGAUGUGAAAUCCCCGGGCUCAACCUGGGAAUUGCAUUCGAUACUGGGUGGCUAGAGUUUGGUAGAGGUAAGUGGAAUUCCGGGUGUAGCCGGUGAAAUGCGUA